AAUAUAACAAAGAAUAAAAAUAGCAGUAAUACAUUUGUACCAGACCACAAUUCAGUAAAGUGUAGCAAGGAUGUUCACUUUUUUAGCCACAGACAUUUCAAAUGUUCUAUUAUUUGUCAUCAUAACAUCACAAUCUAGAUUGUACAAUAAAAUU